UCUCUCUGCCAACAUCCAGCAAGAUGUAAUACAAGGAAUAUGUUUUCUUUCAGUGUUUCUCAUGUCAACACAAAUGCAGUUUUUUCCAUUUUCUUUUUACUCUUGGGACACAGUAAUGUUCCAGUCCAUCUCAAUCUGAAAUUGAAGUGUCUGUCUCUGCAAGGAAUAUCAGAAGGCUACUAAGUUUCCAGCGAUAUCUUAGAUCUUCACGCUUUUUUCGUGGUACUGCGGUUUCAAAUUCCCUAAACAUUUUAGAUGAUGAUUAUAAUGGACAAGCCAAGUGUAUGCUGGAAAAAGUUGGAAAUUGGAAUUUUGAUAUCUUUCUAUUUGAUAGACUAACAAAUGGAAAUAGUCUAGUAAGCUUAACCUUUCAUUUAUUUAGUCUUCAUGGAUUAAUUGAGUACUUCCAUUUAGAUAUGAUGAAACUUCGUAGAUUUUUAGUUAUGAUUCAAGAAGAUUACCACAGUCAAAAUCCUUACCAUAACGCAGUCCACGCUGCGGAUGUUACUCAGGCCAUGCACUGUUACUUAAAGGAACCUAAGGCUGAACUCAUGUGGAUUAUAAAGCAUUUUGUUCAAGUUGAGUCCAAAGUUUCCUUGAUUGAUUGACACUGCUUGCCAAUUCUGUAACUCCUUGGGAUAUCUUGCUGAGCUUAAUUGCAGCUGCCACUCAUGAUCUGGAUCAUCCAGGUGUUAAUCAACCUUUCCUUAUUAAAACUAACCAUUACUUGGCAACUUUAUACAAGAAUACCUCAGUACUGGAAAAUCACCACUGGAGAUCUGCAGUGGGCUUAUUGAGAGAA
rnacentral:sRNA from 1 species